rnacentral:rRNA from 1 species
UACGUAGGGGGGCUAGCGUUGUCCGGAUUUAUUGGGCGUAAAGAGCGUGUAGGCGGCCAUGUAGGUCCGGUGUGAAAACUCGAGGCUUAACCUCGAGAUGUCAUCGGAAACCAUUUGGCUAGAGUCCGGAAGAGGAGAGUGGAAUUCCUGGUGUAGCGGUGAAAUGCGCAGAUAUCAGGAAGAACACCAAUGGCGAAGGCAGGUCACUGGGCCGCAACUGACGCUGAGGAGCGAAAGCAUGGGGAGCGAACAGG